UCUCUGCCGCUGCUGCGCCCGCGCUGCCCCCAGGACUGGCUCCCCGAGCGCCGGGCUCGCCGCCGGCACCGGAUGAAGAGUCCCGAGAAGGCUUAAUUUGCAGGAAGACAUUCUCAUCAGAUCUCGUCUCCGGCAGCGGAGCGCUGCUGCCGAGGGUCGAAGUGGGCUCCUGCCAGCUCCCCUCCCCCGGGCCCCGGCCAGGCGAGAAACAGAGAUGGUGGGGGCAGAAACUGGAGCCCCGGCGCCGAGCGGCCGCAAGGGGCCGAGGCCUUUGAGAGCUUGGCUGCCUCUUGCCAAGGUCAAUCAAACCCUCCCACGCUCGGGAGGCGCGCGCUGCGUGCGCCGGGCGGCGAAGGAAAAAGGACCAUGUAAUGCCUGGAGCCGCAGCAGCCACAUUAAAAUCAUAAGGUUGGACAAGCAUGAGGACAAAAAGCCAGCAUAGUGAGGGUGGCAGAAAGGCAGGACAGAAAGAAACUGGAUCCUUGAGAGAACCAUUUGAGCAGCUAAAUCAACAUCACCAACCCCCCACCUCUAACUUCUUGUCUUAGGGGGAGAAGCAAACCCUUAUUUGAUUAAACCAUUGUUAGUCAAAA